GCCGAUGUGGCGGAAUUGGUAGACGCGGUGGAUUCAAAAUCCACUCUUGGCAACAAGGUUACGGUUCGAGUCCGUACAUCGGCA
rnacentral:tRNA from 2 species